rnacentral:rRNA from 1 species
AUUGAACGCUGGCGGCAGGCCUAACACAUGCAAGUCGGGCGGAUGAAGGGAGCUUGCUCCUGGAUUCAGCGGCGGACGGGUGAGUAAUGCCUAGGAAUCUGCCUGGUAGUGGGGGAUAACGUCCGGAAACGGGCGCUAAUACCGCAUACGUCCUGAGGGAGAAAGUGGGGGAUCUUCGGACCUCACGCUAUCAGAUGAGCCUAGGUCGGAUUAGCUAGUUGGUGGGGUAAAGGCCUACCAAGGCGACGAUCCGUAACUGGUCUGAGAGGAUGAUCAGUCACACUGGAACUGAGACACGGUCCAGACUCCUACGGGAGGCAGCAGUGGGGAAUAUUGGACAACGGGCGAAAGCCUGAUCCAGCCAUGCCGCGUGUGUGAAGAAGGUCUUCGGAUUGUAAAGCACUUUAAGUUGGGAGGAAGGGCAGUAAGUUAAUACCUUGCUGUUUUGACGUUACCAACAGAAUAAGCACCGGCUAACUUCGUG